rnacentral:rRNA from 1 species
UAAGGAAUAUUGGUCAAUGGACGCAAGUCUGAACCAGCCGUGCCGCGUGAAGGAUGAAGGUCCUCUGGAUUGUAAACUUCUUUUAUCUGGGAAGAAAUCCAUGGUUUCGACUGUGGUUGACGGUACCAGAUGAAUAAGCACCGGCUAACUCCGUGCCAGCAGCCGCGGUAAUACGUAGGGGGCAAGCGUUGUCCGGAUUUACUGGGUGUAAAGGGCGCGCAGGCGGGAUAUAAAGUCAGUGGUGAAAUCCUACAGCUUAACUGUAGAACUGCCUUUGAUACUUUUAUUCUUGAGUUCGGGAGAGAGAGACGGAAUUCCAGGUGUAGUGGUGAAAUACGUAGAUAUCUGGAAGAACACCAGUUGCGAAGGCGGUCUCUUGGUCCGACACUGACGCUGAGGCGCGAAAGCGUGGGGAGCAAACA